GACGAACGCUGGCGGCGUGCUUAACACAUGCAAGUCGAACGGAAAGGCCCUGCUUGCAGGGUGCUCGAGUGGCGAACGGGUGAGUAACACGUGGGUGAUCUGCCCCUUACUUUGGGAUAAGCCUGGGAAACUGGGUCUAAUACUGGAUAGGACCAUGCUGUAGGUGGUGUGGUGGAAAGAUUAGUUUCGGUAAGGGAUGAGCUCGCGGCCUAUCAGCUUGUUGGUGGGGUAAUGGCCUACCAAGGCGUCGACGGGUAGCCGGCCUGAGAGGGUGGACGGCCACAUUGGGACUGAGAGACGGCCCAGACUCCUACGGGAGGCAGCAGUGGGGAAUAUUGCACAAUGGGCGCAAGCCGGAUGCAGCGACGCCGCGUGGGGGAUGACGGCCUUCGGGUUGUAAACUCCUUUCAGCCAUGACGAAGCCCUUGUGGUGACGGUAGUGGUAGAAGAAGCACCGGCUAACUACGUG
rnacentral:rRNA from 1 species